UGGUGAUAGCAGUGUGUCAUGCAGCAGAGAUGGUGACAAUUGCUUUAGACUGAAUUUUUAUUCAAAAUCUAGCAAAAUCAAGUACAAAACACUAGGUGUAUUCAAUGUUGAGAGACAGGCACAUGGUCAGGUUAUGAACAAUCAGGAUAUAAGAGAUCAAGGCAGCAAUCACAAUCAAGGUAAACAAUCCAGAAUCAACACAGCAAUCAAUCAAGCAGUGGUAUGGCAGUUGUGAAACAGAGUUGAACAGAUACUUCGCAGUAUAAGUUUGGAGUGUACUUAUAUAGAGGUAGUACUUAUAUGGAGGUGAGUAGUGAUAGCGUCCAGGUGUGUGUAAUCGGUAAUCUGGUGAAAAAGAACAUGACAUUGAGUGUGCUUUGUGAGUUUCACAGUCCAAUGAGUCCAUGUUUGUAGUUUGUGGUUUAUUCUGGGGUACAAAGUUUGAUGCCGAUUCCUGUACAGACAUGAUAUAGUGAUGUUGCUAAUGAUGACCAGAGUUGUGUUCUAAAAUGGAAAUGCUGGUGAUGAUAAAUGAACAACAAAAAUAACUGGGAAAAAAUGUUUCUCUCUUUGCAGAGGUUUCAAGAGAGGGGCUCAGCCUGAAGUUUCUCUCCAACAUGCGUAACAAUGAAGUGAAUCUGAAAUCUCACAAAACUGGUUUAUCAGUUUUCAAAAAGUCCUCUGCAAGGACCUUGGCAACAUAUCUGAAUAACUGCAAAGAUGCUGCAGCAAAACCCCUCUAGAUGCUAUCACCUUCAUGGACAGUGUAAAAAGACAUCCUGUCACAUCUUCAGAUCUUCAUGUCCCCUCGGCACAGCUCUGCGAGGAAGCUCAACCAAAUAGCACAGACAGAUAUUUGUUCCAAAUUGGGGUGAAACAUGUGUCAGUUUCAUUGCCAGUGCUAACAACCAUUCAGGACCAGAUGAGAAGCAAAGCCGCAGCCUGCUGCUCAGGCACUAAUGACACCACUGCAUGUUUAAAGAAGCCUGGCUGUCACAUUGACCAAAGAAUGUCGGAUCUCUCAAUUUUCUUGUUUUUCAGUAAAGCAAAUUGGAGAAAGCAGCAGCACUAGAGUUCCUGAUUGACAACUUCUGUAAACAGUACUUUAAACUGGAGUUGCCUGCAUUCAAAACUUAAAUAACGUGUCCUCUGUACUGUGCCAUGUGGACGAGUCCGCUUCCACCUACGUACUUGUUCUAGUAUAGUUUUAUAACUUCUAAUGGCAUUUUUUAAACAAAUGAAAAGCAAGCCUACCAUCAGCCACUUGUCUUUUAACAUAUGGUUUCUGCCCACCACAACACAUUAGCUCUUGAGGUAGAAAAUAAGCCAUUUACAUUGAAUAAAAAUGUUCCUAAUUUUGAAGUAUUUCAUUAGCAUUGCACAAACUGUAUCAUAUGAUUUAACUAACCAGAAUUAGCUGCCUGACAUCUCUUUUAAAGCAACUCCAAAAAAGCUGAUGUGGCUGAUAAUAACGCAGUAUUUGCAUCAUAUGGGAAUUUUUCUAAUUAUCACUUUCCAACUGGGAGAAACCAUUCAUGUCAACCUCAGAGUAGUAAUGUUGCCUGAAACUCAUAUGAUGGAAAACGUCAAAAUUUGUUCAAAAUAUAAUGUGAAGAUAAAAUAAAUGUGUGUAGAUGUGUUUGUUUUCUGUUCAGAAGGUAUUAUGAAUCAAAAAUGAGCUUUCGCCAUUUUAAUACAUGUUGGUUGAUCAUAUUAAUAAUUAAGUAACUUUCAGGCUUAGAACUCUAAAUCACAGUGCAGAUGCAAAAUUAAUCCAUUUACACAAUCAGUUGGAAAGGCCCCCAUCUGCAUAUGUUAAAAGGCAAUUACACAUAAGAGAAAAGAUGUGCUAAUAAAUCAGCAUGCACAUAUUUUACAGACAUCAAGUUUCAUAUGUUUUUACACAGAGCCUCAGUUCUGUUGAAUAUUAGGAAAUGUGCUAAGGUGUAAAAUUAAAACAGUGACAUGCAACAUGCGAAUGCUGACUAAUGGAAAAUAAAAACCCCAAUCACCCUUUUAAAAAUGUAAACAAGGUGCAACACACAAGUCCUUUUAAAUUGGAAUAAAAAGAUGUUUUCCCAUGCUCCUAAAUGCUUCCACAUUACUCUAUAUUAAAGCUAAUUUAUGCCAGCUAGCUAUCAUCAGUUCUCUCAGAAAGUAUUGGAAUGUCAAGGUCAGUUAUUUUAUUUGUGCUUUACACUGAAAUGAUUUGGGUUUCAGAUCAAAAGAUUAAUGCGAGAUAGAUCAGAAUUUC
ensembl:lncRNA